CACUCCUACGGGAGGCAGCAGUGGGGAAUAUUGCACAAUGGGCGCAAGCCUGAUGCAGCCAUGCCGCGUGUAUGAAGAAGGCCUUCGGGUUGUAAAGUACUUUCAGCGGGGAGGAAGGCGAUAAGGUUAAUAACCUUGUCGAUUGACGUUACCCGCAGAAGAAGCACCGGCUAACUCCGUGCCAGCAGCCGCGGUAAUACGGAGGGUGCAAGCGUUAAUCGGAAUUACUGGGCGUAAAGCGCACGCAGGCGGUCUGUCAAGUCGGAUGUGAAAUCCCCGGGCUCAACCUGGGAACUGCAUUCGAAACUGGCAGGCUAGAGUCUUGUAGAGGGGGGUAGAAUUCCAGGUGUAGCGGUGAAAUGCGUAGAGAUCUGGAGGAAUACCGGUGGCGAAGGCGGCCCCCUGGACAAAGACUGACGCUCAGGUGCGAAAGCGUGGGGAGCAAACAGGAUUAGAAACCCCUGUAGUCCCA
rnacentral:rRNA from 1 species